rnacentral:lncRNA from 1 species
GCUCCACUGCUUCAGUUAUCCCAUAUAUCUAUGCACAAAUACAUGUAUCAUAAGUUUCGAUAGAGCAACUUGAUACUAGAGGAAUGUAUUUUGAAUUCACCAUGUGAAAUUUAUAUUGAAUACAUCAAAUUAAUUCAAGAUACACUAGAUGAAAUUGAUUUUGGUUACAACAAAUUGAUACCAAAUCCAUGUACUUUGGAUAUAAUAUAUGAAAUUGUUACUUGAU